GACGAACCGAGCGAACGUUGUUCGGAAUCACUGGGCUUAAAGGGCGCGUAGGCGGGCGGUCAAGUCGAGGGUGAAAGCCCCCAGCUCAACUGGGGAAGUGCCUCCGAUACUGGCCGUCUCGAGGGGGAUAGGGGCGUGCGGAACUUCCGGUGGAGCGGUGAAAUGCGUAGAUAUCGGAAGGAACAUCGGUGGCGAAAGCGGCGCGCUGGAUCCCUUCUGACGCUGAGGCGCGAAAGCCAGGGGAGCGGAA
rnacentral:rRNA from 1 species